CUACAGGGGGCUGCAGUGAGGAAUAUUGCACAAUGGGGGGAACCCUGAUGCAGCAACGCCGCGUGGAGGAUGACGCAUUUCGGUGUGUAAACUCCUUUUAUAUGUCAAGAAAAUGACGGUAGCAUAUGAAUAAGCACCGGCUAACUCCGUGCCAGCAGCCGCGGUAAUACGGAGGGUGCAAGCGUUACUCGGAAUCACUGGGCGUAAAGGACGCGUAGGCGGGUUGGAAAGUCAGGUGUGAAAUCCUACAGCUUAACUGUAGAACUGCACUUGAAACUUCUAAUCUAGAGUAUGGGAGGGGGAGAUGGAAUUAGUGGUGUAGGGGUAAAACCCGUAGAUAUCACUAGGAAUACCUAAAGCGAAGGCGAUCUCCUGGAACAUUACUGACGCUAAGGCGUGAAAGCGUGGGGAGCAAACAGGAUUAGAUACCCCGGUAGUC
rnacentral:rRNA from 1 species